rnacentral:lncRNA from 1 species
AAAUAGUAAUAAAAAUAGUAAUAAAAAAAAUAAUUCAAAAAAUCAAAAAGAUAAUAUUUUACCAGAUCAGAAUAUAGAUGCACAAAAAACAGAUGAAGAAAUGUCUGAACCUUCUCCUAUUUAUUUAUAUAAAUAUGAUUAUUUUGGGGAACUAUCUAUUAUAAAUCAUCAGUUAAGAACAUCUACAUGUAAAGCUUACACAAAUUGUUUUUUAUUAACAAUUGAUAAAACUUCUUUUAUGAACUGUUUUAGUAGUAUAAUUAAUGAUCUAUUACUAGAAGCUGAUGUUAAAUAUACUAAAAAUUAUUCUUUACCAAAUUGGUUAAAAUAUUUAUAUGGAAUGGGAGAUGUUUAUGAUAACUCUAUGAAUUCUACUUCUGCUCUUAUACCUGUGCUAUCAAAUUCUUUUAGUAGUAUGUCCGGUACAAGUAGUGAGGAAUUUCUUUUUGAAAAAGAAAUAAAAAAAAAACUUAAAAAAAAUGACAAAAAACAUAAAGAGAAAAACAAUGAGUUCAUGGAAAUAUUUGAAAGUUUUAAUAAUAAAUCUUAUAAGAAACAAGAAAAAAAUGUUAAUAAAAGCGAUAUUAUUACAAGUGAUAGUGCUAGUGUUGUAAGCGCUUUUGAUGAUAGUGAUAAAAUAAAAGAAAUAGAAGAAGAAAAAAAACAAAAAUUAAAAGAAAUGAAGUUAAAAGAGCUAAAAGUAUUUGAAAAAAUUAAAUUGAAAGAAGAAAGAAAAAUUAAAAAGUUGAUAAAACAAAGAGGGAUUAAUAUGGAUGCAGAUAAGCUUAUUCCUAAAUAUAAUAAUACUACGAUGCAUGAUAGGGCACCAGUANNNNNNNNNNGUAAAAUAUGGCGAAUUAGUAAAGGAUGGCGAAUUAGUAAAAGAUGGCGAAUUAGUAAAAGAUGGCGAAUUAGUAAAAGAUGACGAAUUAGUAAAGGAUGACGAAUUAAUACAAGAUGGCAAACUACAGCACCAUGCCGAACUACAACAUGAUGACACAUUUGUACAUGAAGACCCAUUUAGUGGAUGUAUAAAAGAUAACGUGAACUUAGAUAGAUCUAGUUCAAAAUAUAUUGAAAGCCCCCAAAAAAACAAUUUAGAAACAUUUAACGAAGUAAAAAGUGUUAUAAAAGAUGAAACUAAAGAAUUAAAAAAUGAAAAUAACAUAGGUUCUGUAGAAAUAAAAAAUAAUGCUGUAAAAUCUCUCAAUUCUUUACUAACGAAUGAACAAAGAUCAUUUAGCAUUUUAAAAAAGAGAACAAAUUCAUCCAAUUUGUCCGAGUUAGAUAUAAAUAAAUUAAUAAAAAAAUUAAUAAAUAUUAUAAACUUAGAAUUUCAUUCUAUUUUUCACUUUUAUGAAUCCAUUGAUAAAUUUAACAGAGGAUAUAUAACAUAUAAUGAUUUUAUGAAUUUUAUAAUGCUUUUUAAUAUAGGAGAAUUGUUUGAAAAUUCUGAAGAAUUAGGAAUGGUAUUUACAUAUUUAUGUGGUGAAGGUAAUAAAAAUGUUUUAAAUUUAAACGAUUUUUAUACAAAUGCAUAUAAAUGUUUUUACCCAAAUGAAGAUAUGAAUAAAUUCGAAUUGAAUUUAAAUUUAUGUGAAAUUUAUGGUAAUAGUAGGUUAGCUUUUCAAAAAAAUAUCUCUCAGUUGAAUAUAGAAAAUUAUUUCUGUACAUUUCAAAAUUUCGAAACUGUUUGUAAAAAAGUUGGUUUAUCUAAAAAAAAUAUAAAAGAUAUAUGGAAUGAAAUAAAUAUCAUGAAUCAAGAAACUAUACCAAUCGAUAUUAUACUUAGUAUAUUAAAUGGUGAAUUAUAUAUUGAAGAAGCUUAUACUAUAUAUAAUGAAAAAACAUCCAUUGUAAACCAAGUUGUUACAUUUUUUCAAACAGAUGAAAACAUUAUUAAACUAGAUAGCAAUAUUAAUAAUUUUUUGACUCAAUAUGAAGAACCAAUUAUUCUAAAUAAAGCACAGCAUAAAUCACAUCCAAAAGAAGUUACACAUAUAAUAAAACUAUUAGAAAAAGAUAAUAAUUUUAAAUACUUAACAUUAGAUCAAAGAAAAUUUGUUACCACUUUAAUGAAUAGAAAAGUUAUGAAAUAUGAAGAAAUUGUAAUAAAACAAAAUCAAAAUAAUGCACCAAUUAUUUGCUUAUAUGAAGGUGAAGCUAAUAUAAAUAAUUAUCAAUUGUUUGGAGUACAAUUAACUAUAAGAGAAUUAAAAAAUAAUGAAAUUUAUGGUUAUAAUGAAGUUUUGCAUAAUUUAGCAGCUAAUUAUGAAAUAAAAAUAAAAUCAAAUAAAGCUAUUGUAUGGGUUUUGAGUAAAAAAGAUUUUAACGAACAUAUAAUAGAAAUGUUAGAAGAAAGAAAAAAUAAUUGUGCUAAUAUUUUAAUAAUAUUAAAAAAUGUACCCAUUAUAAAAUAUUUUACUCGAGAAGUACUU